rnacentral:rRNA from 1 species
UACAGAGGUCUCAAGCGUUGUUCGGAUUCAUUGGGCGUAAAGGGUGCGUAGGCGGCGCGGUAAGUCGGGUGUGAAAUCUCGGAGCUUAACUCCGAAACUGCAUUCGAUACUGCCGUGCUUGAGGACUGGAGAGGAGACUGGAAUUUACGGUGUAGCGGUGAAAUGCGCAGAUAUCAGGAGGAACACCGGGUGGCGAAGGCGACAUCCUGGACCAACACUGACGCUGAGGAGCGAAAGCCAGGGGAGCAAACGGG